UAGGGAAUCUUCGGCAAUGGGGGGAACCCUGACCGAGCAACGCCGCGUGAGUGAAGAAGGUUUUCGGAUAGUAAAGCUCUGUUGUUAAGGAAGAACGAGUGUGAGAAUGGAAAGUUCAUGCUGUGACGGUACUUAACCAGAAAGGGACGGCUAACUACGUGCCAGCAGCCGCGGUAAUACGUAGGUCCCGAGCGUUGUCCGGAUUUAUUGGGCGUAAAGCGAGCGCAGGCGGUUAGAAAAGUCUGAAGUGAAAGGCAGUGGCUCAACCAUUGUAGGCUUUGGAAACUGUUUAACUUGAGUGCAGAAGGGGAGAGUGGAAUUCCAUGUGUAGCGGUGAAAUGCGUAGAUAUAUGGAGGAACACCGGUGGCGAAAGCGGCUCUCUGGUCUGUAACUGACGCUGAGGCUCGAAAGCGUGGGGAGCGAACAGG
rnacentral:rRNA from 1 species